UUCAGCUGAAAUAUCAAUUGCGAACUGCAAAACUUUGAAGAAAGGGAAGCGGCUAUGGCGAUGCCACGACGUUGAAUAACCCAACCCUUCAUUCUCCAAGACAAAAACGCAUUGAUAAACCCUAACUCCUCAAUUCCUAAUUCCCAAUUCCCAAUUCCCAAUUCCAAUCAAAAAAUUGAAACCCUAAUUACGAAAUAGACGAUCGUUCGAUCGAGAUAAUCUAUCAAAUAACGAAAUUAUGGAUCACGAUGAACCGUUCCGUUCGCCGCGCACCGGCCCCAUUCACUUGCUUUGGGGCUGACGAGGAACGCGAGCAAAGCCGAAAUCAAGGAAGCGUUCAGGAAGCUGGCGGUGAAGCUGCACCCAGACAAGCAUUCCGCUUCCCCCAAGGCGGAGAGAGACAGCGCCACCGUCCGAUUCAAGCAGGUAUCCGAGGCCUACCAGGUCCUCACCGACGAUCGCAAGCGCGCCGACUACAAUUUCCAGAGCUCUCGCCGCCCCCACAGCAAUUACAAUACCUACACUCGCAGUUACGGUUAUGGAUACAGUAGAAGUAAUACUUACAGUUACAGAAGAGGAGGUGGCGGUUCUGGAGCCGCCAACAGAGCUUCCUCCGCCUUUGAGAAUUUACUCCGAUAUGUCACGACCCGCGCUUUCCUUCUCAAUGUCUCCGUAGCAGGGGCUUUCUUAGGUGGCAUGGCAGUUGUUAAUUUGGGCUGGGAUGCCUUCUGGAAGAUGCAUAAUAAUGAGAAAUCAUUUGAAGAAGCCAUGAGAUCCAUUCGAAAAGCCAAAGUACAUACAGAGAAGCAGUCGGAGCCAGCCACCAAAGUCCCUAGCUAACCUUUUGCUAAUUGUAAUUACAUGUCCUCUUGCUCAAAUCACCACAGUUACGUGCAAAUAAAAUCAAAGUUCUUACCAGUUUUUGAGGACAAAGUAUGUCUCAUUCAAAGUAUUUGUAUAAUCUAUCUAUGCUUGAUUCAUUAUUGUUUGUUCCUCUCAACUAUUACGUACUUUGUUUGUGUAGAUAGAUUACAAUUAUUGGAACGCUUCAAUGGCGGUUCUGUAUCGUAUAUAGAAAUUUUUUACUGAUGUAUCUUUGUAUGCAUAAACCAAAGUGCUUUUCUACUAGUACAGAUAAAACCAAAGUUCUUGUUAGUUUCUGAUGAUCAAGUGUGUAACUUUUAAGGUGGUUGUGUGAUCUAUCUAUGCUUGAUAUGUUGUCUCCUAUUUUCAUUUUUAUUCUUCGCUGUUGGUGUGAUGGCAAGUGUCUUCGCCCAUGAGCGGUAGGUCUCGGGUUCGAGACUUGGGAGCAGCCUCUCCAUAAAUGGGGUAAGGCUAGCCGACAUUCACCUCUCCCAGACCCUGCGUAAAGCGGGAGCCUUGUGCACUGGGUACGACCUUUUUACUCUUCGCUGUUGAAUUGCUUCCCGUUUUAUCUUUAGCUCGUACCCAUUUUUAUUUGGUUGUAGCUUGUUAAGUUAUUACAAUUGUGUGAGGAUUGGUGGAUCAGUGAUAUAGAUACAGAGGGGAAACUCUGUACGCUUGGGAAUUUUAGCCGAAGUUGAAAGAUGGCGGAGGUGGAUGAUAAUUGUAGUUUAUUGAGUGAAGGCGGAAAACUGUCAAAUGCGGAGACAAAUUAAAUUGAUAGAGCAUAUGACCAACAGUUGAAGUGAUUCUUAGUUUAGAUAAAUUCUAUCUGUGAUAGUUCUGGAAUUGCAGGAAUUGUGGAGUUUACAUGCACAAGCCAACAGGGCCCAGGGAAUUGCCAUCAGAUUCUUCUACUGCAGUGCCUUCGUUCAACAAUUGAUGCCUGAACAAUACUGGAAGUUAGUCAGUGGAAUGAGCCAAAGUUUGACGGACAUAACCAGUACUAUUUUGACGUCUAUAUAGGCAAUGGGUGCUAUCAGGAUUAGGAAAAGAAGGAAACCCUAGCAAUCCAUCAUCCCAAUGUUGGGGAUUCAACGGGACAUAAUCCAACAAGUAUCAACGACCACUGCAUAAGGUUGGUUCUGUUGUGCCUGUCCAUUUGCCUCCGGUUGAGCUUCAUCUCCACCGUCCUCGGUUUACUCAUCAGAAUUCAUCCUCAGCUCUGUUACAAGCCGCCCGACCUUGUCAUAUUUUUCGAUGAACUUCUCUUCCCAGUCCUGUAAUAUGCCAAGUUCAUCAGGCCCGAGACCUUCGAGGUUGCCGUUUAUGUCUUGGGGUUUAAAAGACAGAAGAGCCAGCGCUCUGCUAACUUCCCUUCCAGCAAACAUGGCGUACGGUCCACCUGGUCCGUAGAAGUUCCUGCAUUGCAUGUUGUAUUGUAAGAUGCAUCAAAUUAUGAUUUUAAUUUGCACCGAAAUUUGAGCAACCAAUUUGGCCGCUAAAUUUUGAACAAAUUGUAGUUUUAGAAACUCAAAUUUGAAGUCCAUAAAAUUUGUCCGAGUUUGACAAAGGAAAGUGAUUUUCACGUUUCGUUUUA